GAUCAGAGAGGAGUGCCAUACAGAAGCCUGAAAGAGUAUUUGAUUAUCGUGAAAUAUCUGAGUUCGAGGCUGGCACAUGGCACAUGGCUCUUGAAUAACAUCCGAUAUGUCUCUCUUGUUUAUAAGAAUUUAAAACCCAUUCAAAGAGAGUGGUUUUUUUUUUUUUUUUUUUGUGGUUUUGUUUUAUUUUUUUAAUGGUUUGUUUGGUUCUUCUGAAGUUGUGAUUUAUGCGUCCCUGGGGCUGUGAACCAGAAUGAAAGAGCCCAGGACAUUGAUGAAGACAAGGAAAGAAGACACCUGAGAAGAACCAGAAGAAUAAAAGUGACAGGUUGGAAUACAACCAUUUGGGACAUUUUUUUUUUGUAGAUGAAAGUUUAUUUUACUGUAGAAAUGUAAUGAUCUUUAACUCAAUAUAUCAACAACAAAUGUAAACUUA